UUUUCUUGUAAUUUUUAGUUUUUUUGUUUUUUUUUCUUUCUUCCGAAAAUUGUGACUUAUAAACUCAUUAUCGUAAGUUUACAGUUCACAAUUCUGUAUGCAUUUUCUCUGAUUCUGAUUUUACAUCUCACAGUUCAGUUUUUCUCGUUUUGCCACAGAAAUACACACAUAAAUAAAGGUAACUGCGUUUUCUUUUCGGGGGCGUUAAGACAACAGUUUUCAACUAAAAACUGAAAACUUUAUGCAUUUCGCAUGUAUUUCAUGCAUGUCAUUCUCAUGACAACGGCAUUUUUGGGAGCCUGAAAAUGCAAACGUUUGAAAAUGGGUUUCAAAGUGGACAUUUUUGAAAAUGAUACCAUUAUCGUCUUAGUGUAAAGUACAAAAAUGUGAACUUUUGAUAUCAGUGAUAUCAUGUGCAUGUGUAUUAUAGGUUAAGUGCACAGGUGUGUAGUGUUACUUUACAAAGUGAUAUCAACUACUGACGUGGUAUGAAUAAUACAACAUUUUUAGUCAUUUGCACGGAUUUGUGUGGACAGGAAUCGUUUUGAGAAUGCCGUCAAAAAAAAUGUUUUUUAACUUUAAAUCAUGUAAAUGCCUCCUAGCAGACCCCC